rnacentral:tRNA from 1 species
CCCGGCUUAGCUCAGUUGGUAGAGCGGUGGACUGUAGAGGGACAGCGCUGUGGCGCAACCGCCGCCAUCCACAGGUCGCUGGUUCAAAUCCGGCAGCCGGGA